UACGUAGGGUGCAAGCGUUGUCCGGAAUUAUUGGGCGUAAAGAGCUCGUAGGCGGUUUGUCGCGUCUGCUGUGAAAACUCGGGGCUUAACUCCGGGCCUGCAGUGGGUACGGGCAGACUAGAGUGCGGUAGGGGAGACUGGAAUUCCUGGUGUAGCGGUGAAAUGCGCAGAUAUCAGGAGGAACACCGGUGGCGAAGGCGGGUCUCUGGGCCGUAACUGACGUUGAGGCGCGAAAGCUAGGGGAGCAAACGGG
rnacentral:rRNA from 1 species